rnacentral:rRNA from 1 species
GGAGGAAAAGAAACUAACAAGGAUUCCCCUAGUAACGGCGAGUGAAGCGGGAAGAGCUCAAAUUUGAAAUCUGGCAGUCUUCGAUUGUCCGAGUUGUAAUCUAUAGAGGCGUUUUCCGUGCCGGACCGUGUCCAAGUCUCCUGGAAAGGAGUAUCAAAGAGGGUGAUAAUCCCGUACUUAACACGACCACCGGUGCUCUGUGAUACGUCUUCUACGAGUCGAGUUGUUUGGGAAUGCAGCUCAAAAUGGGUGGUGAAUUCCAUCUAAAGCUAAAUAUUGGCGAGAGACCGAUAGCGAACAAGUACCGUGAGGGAAAGAUGAAAAGCACUUUGGAAAGAGAGUUAAACAGUACGUGAAAUUGUUGAAAGGGAAACGAUUGAAGUCAGUCGUGUUCUUUGGAUUCAGCCAGUUCUGCUGGUCUACUUCCUUGGAACGGGUCAACAUCAGUUUUGUCCGGUGGAUAAAGGUAGUAGGAAUGUGACUUCUCCGGAAGUGUUAUAGCCUAUUAUCACAUACACUGGGUGAGACUGAGGACUGCAGCUCGCCUUUAUGGCCGGCCUUCGGGCACGUUCGAGCUUAGGAUGUUGACAUAAUGGCUUUAAACGACCCGUCUUG